GGGUAUUUAAGUCAUAGGGCUCUAUUUUGCACUCUAGCGCAAUUGACUUUGUAUACUCGCGCUUUUGUCUUUCCUAUUUUGCAGUCAGCGCAUAUUGGAAUU